UACGAACUGUGCAAACGUUAUUCGGAAUCACUGGGCUUAAAGGGUGCGUAGGCGGCUUAUCAAGUAGGGUGUGAAAGCCCCCGGCUUAACCGGGAAUUGCGCCCUAAACUGACGAGCUGGAGUGGGACAGGGGUGUGUGGAACUUCCGGUGGAGCGGUGAAAUGUGUUGAUAUCGGAAGGAACGCCGGUGGCGAAAGCGACACACUGGGUCUCAACUGACGCUGAGGCGCGAAAGCCAGGGAGCGGAACGGGAUUAAGAAAC
rnacentral:rRNA from 1 species